rfam:Dengue virus 2, complete genome
AGUUGUUAGUCUACGUGGACCGACAAAGACAGAUUCUUUGAGGGAGCUAAGCUCAACGUAGUUCUAACAGUUUUUUAAUUAGAGAGCAGAUCUCUGAUGAAUAACCAACGGAAAAAGGCGAAAAACACGCCUUUCAAUAUGCUGAAAC